ACCUGGGUGGCUCAGUCGGUUGAGCAUCUGACUUCAGCUCUGGUCAUGGUUUCACGGUUCGUGAGUUCGAGCCCCACCUUGGGCU
rnacentral:tRNA from 1 species